UUGAACGCUGGCGGCAGGCCUAACACAUGCAAGUCGAGCGGUAGCACAGAGAGCUUGCUCUCGGGUGACGAGCGGCGGACGGGUGAGUAAUGUCUGGGAAACUGCCUGAUGGAGGGGGAUAACUACUGGAAACGGUAGCUAAUACCGCAUAAUGUCGCAAGACCAAAGUGGGGGACCUUCGGGCCUCAUGCCAUCAGAUGUGCCCAGAUGGGAUUAGCUAGUAGGUGGGGUAACGGCUCACCUAGGCGACGAUCCCUAGCUGGUCUGAGAGGAUGACCAGCCACACUGGAACUGAGACACGGUCCAGACUCCUACGGGAGGCAGCAGUGGGGAAUAUUGCACAAUGGGCGCAAGCCUGAUGCAGCCAUGCCGCGUGUGUGAAGAAGGCCUUCGGGUUGUAAAGCACUUUCAGCGGGGAGGAAGGCGUUAAGGUUAAUAACCUUGGCGAUUGACGUUACCCGCAGAAGAAGCACCGGCUAACUCCGUGCCAGCAGCCGCGGUAAUACGGAGGGUGCAAGCGUUAAUCGGAAUUACUGGGCGUAAAGCGCACGCAGGCGGUCUGUCAAGUCGGAUGUGAAAUCCCCGGGCUCAACCUGGGAACUGCAUUCGAAACUGGCAGGCUAGAGUCUUGUAGAGGGGGGUAGAAUUCCAGGUGUAGCGGUGAAAUGCGUAGAGAUCUGGAGGAAUACCGGUGGCGAAGGCGGCCCCCUGGACAAAGACUGACGCUCAGGUGCGAAAGCGUGGGGAGCAAACAGGAUUAGAUACCCUGGUAGUCCACGCCGUAAACGAUGUCGAUUUGGAGGUUGUGCCCUUGAGGCGUGGCUUCCGGAGCUAACGCGUUAAAUCGACCGCCUGGGGAGUACGGCCGCAAGGUUAAAACUCAAAUGAAUUGACGGGGGCCCGCACAAGCGGUGGACCAUGUGGUUUAAUUCGAUGCAACGCGAAGAACCUUACCUGGUCUUGACAUCCACAGAACUUUCCAGAGAUGGAUUGGUGCCUUCGGGAACUGUGAGACAGGUGCUGCAUGGCUGUCGUCAGCUCGUGUUGUGAAAUGUUGGGUUAAGUCCCGCAACGAGCGCAACCCUUAUCCUUUGUUGCCAGCGGUUCGGCCGGGAACUCAAAGGAGACUGCCAGUGAUAAACUGGAGGAAGGUGGGGAUGACGUCAAGUCAUCAUGGCCCUUACGACCAGGGCUACACACGUGCUACAAUGGCAUAUACAAAGAGAAGCGACCUCGCGAGAGCAAGCGGACCUCAUAAAGUAUGUCGUAGUCCGGAUUGGAGUCUGCAACUCGACUCCAUGAAGUCGGAAUCGCUAGUAAUCGUAGAUCAGAAUGCUACGGUGAAUACGUUCCCGGGCCUUGUACACACCGCCCGUCACACCAUGGGAGUGGGUUGCAAAAGAAGUAGGUAGCUUAACCUUCGGGAGGGCGCUUACCACUUUGUGAUUCAUGACUGGGGUG
rnacentral:rRNA from 1 species